UUCCAGACGUGUUGCUGCAUCUGAUUCACUAUCAGCUCAUCUCAUAUUUUCCAUCACAUGGUGAAAUGUCUCAGUUUCACUAUCUGAGAUGAUGCUGAUCUACUACUGGGAA